rnacentral:lncRNA from 1 species
GUCGAGUUCUUUUGAGGUAGAGGAGACUGAUGUAGGAGGAUUUCUUGUGUAUAUUGUUAUUUUAAUUAGAUUUAGUUUUAUUAUAUUUUAGGUAGAUUUCUUAUUUUUAUUUAGUUAGGUUUGUUAUUUUCUUUUACAAUCUUUUAUGAGAUUUGUUAUUUUUAUUUUCCACUCCUAUUUAAACUAAAUUAUUGUAGCCUUGAAGGCAACUUUUUUGAUUCAAUAAAAAUUCAGAGAUUUUUCUCAAAUUUGGUGGAUUCCAAAUUACUCUUUCGGUGGACUCCGAAACCCUAUUUUGACAAGUUUGUGUUUGCGGCUUGUCUUUAUCC